UGGAUAUGAUGUGGAUUUGAU
rnacentral:piRNA from 1 species